GAGCUCACUUUAGCAGAUGCGCUGAAACUGAAAAAAUACAUGGGAGGUUAACAUGGCCCCUGUGCAAGGAUGACACGCAGACUCGCGAGGCAGGCCGUAUUUUA
ensembl:snRNA U6 U6 spliceosomal RNA